rnacentral:rRNA from 1 species
GAUGAACGCUGGCGGCGUGCCUAAUACAUGCAAGUCGAGCGAACAGACGAGGAGCUUGCUCCUCUGACGUUAGCGGCGGACGGGUGAGUAACACGUGGAUAACCUACCUAUAAGACUGGGAUAACUUCGGGAAACCGGAGCUAAUACCGGAUAAUAUAUUGAACCGCAUGGUUCAAUAGUGAAAGACGGUUUUGCUGUCACUUAUAGAUGGAUCCGCGCCGCAUUAGCUAGUUGGUAAGGUAACGGCUUACCAAGGCGACGAUGCGUAGCCGACCUGAGAGAGGGAUAGGCCACAUGGGAGCGGAGACACGGUCCAGACUCCUACGGGAGGCAGCAGUAGGGAAUCUUCCGCAAUGGGCGAAAGCCUGACGGAGCAACGCCGCGUGAGUGAUGAAGGUCUUCGGAUCGUAAAACUCUGUUAUUAGGGAAGAACAAAUGUGUAAGUAACUAUGCACGUCUUGACGGUACCUAAUCAGAAAGCCACGGCUAACUACGUG